rnacentral:pre_miRNA from 1 species
AAAGUACUCCCUCUGUCCCAAAAUUCUUGUCUUAGAUUUGUCUAGAUACGGAUGUAUCAAGUCACAUUUUAGUAUUAGAUACAUACGUAUCUAGACAAAUCUAAGACAAGAAUUUUGGGACAGAGGGAGUAGUUG